CACCCGAUUCGAACGUUAUCACUCGAUUGAAUGGGCGUUAUCAGCGGUUAUCAACCCAUAGAUAUGGGCCAGGAGGGGCCUCCUGCUCCUACUAGUAGGCUCAGAAGGCCGUAAUCAUCCUUCCACAUGGUUGAUCACCCACAAAUAUACAAGAGAAGACUCCAGAUCCAAUCCCAGAAUUCCUGCUCACCGGUAAUCGGAAGUCUACUGGAUGAACGCGGCAACGUUGCGAUAUUUCCUGCUUAAUAUUUUCAGAUAUGGGAAAAGCUCUUAAGAUGACCACACGUUUCAGGAACGUUAAAAUUAAGUUGGUGAGGAGGUCUAUCGCUGGCCCUGCAAAGUUUUCUUACCUCAGUCAAGGUCUUCCCCAGCCCAGCUACAAACAGACCCACUCUUCUGACCAUUCGAUUACAUCUCAACUGGCUGAUCCUGUUGAUGUGACACCAAGCUGUUCUGAGAGUGCAUACAGGAAGGCAAAGAAGAGAGAGCUUCAUGCCUGGGAUGCAGUCAAGGAUGAGAUGCUUAAGGUGUCGUUUGAAUGUUCAGCACCAAUCACUACCCAGUGUGUUGUCUGCCGAGAACAUGCUGAUUAUAGGUGUCUUGAGUGCAGCUCCACUGCAGUGUUUUGUGAGGUUUGCCUGAAGAGGACUUUCACUGCAUCUUCCUGAAAAGUGGAUUGUAAGAACAAUAGCAUACAGUCUUACAUUGCUAUUGCUAUACUUGCAUACAGACAGCAAACUUACAGUAAUGUCUACAGAUUCAUUAGAUACUUCAGAUUGUUUUAGCACUAUGCAGUAUCAACUGUUAGUGUCACAAGUUUGUUGUUUUAAAAACAUUAGAGCUAUCCAUCUUUCUUACAGAAUAUUUACUAUGAGCCAUCCUCCCUGGGGUUAUUCUUCUAUUUACCAGAAGGCCAUGGCACCCAUGCUGUGUACACAAAGGACAUGAAGGUCAUUGUCAGCACAGGACGGCUCUGCACCAUUACAGUCAACAUGUGUGCGUGUGAACCAGAAACCUGCUCUCUGCUAAGGUAUGGGCUCUGGCCAGCAACAGCCGACAAGCCCCAGACAGAUAGCCUUCUCCAUCCCUCUGCUAGAGCUUUUUGUUUGUCUGUCACUGGAGUGUCAGGUUUCUGUUGAGGGUUUUUGCAACACCCCAUAUCCCAUUUUAGGCAUCACCACUUCCGACAAAGAAGUUUGGUUGAUAUUUGGCCACAUUAAAUGGUGGAACCAUAUGCCCAGCAUGUCCAAAGGCGGAUGGAGAUAUGAUUGUCACAGUGGAUGCCAACUUUGGCCUUGUGAGGAAGCAAAGCUCCAGUACAAGUGCGGUUGAGCCAUUACACGGAACCCGCAUGUUUCUUGAUGAAAAGGAUGUAGAGGAAUACCUGCUAUCACAUCUUGACAGCUCAAAGCCUCAAGAGGUUAAUCAUUGUUGCAGAAUUUCAUGGCCUGAGUCCAUGAAAUAUUAAUUAAACUUGUGAAAAAAGAUCACUAUUCCUCCCAUAAAUCUAUGUAUUCCUUAAAUAUUUAGGACUGCAGUAAGCUGCUCUCAUUCAAGGUCUCCAACACCUGGAAAGAAAACGAC